UUUGCUCUUUAAAAAUCUGGAUCAAGCUGAAAAUUGAAACACAGAACAACGAAAGUUGUUCGUGAGUCUCUCAAAUUUUCGCAACACGAUGAUGAAUCGUAAGAAACAUCUUCGGGUUGUGAGGUUAAGCGACUAAGCGUACACGGUGGAUGCCCUGGCAGUCAGAGGCGAUGAAGGACGUGCUAAUCUGCGAUAAGCGCCGGUAAGGUGAUAUGAACCGUUAUAACCGGCGAUUUCCGAAUGGGGAAACCCAGUGUGAUUCGUCACACUAUCAUUAACUGAAUCCAUAGGUUAAUGAGGCGAACCGGGGGAACUGAAACAUCUAAGUACCCCGAGGAAAAGAAAUCAACCGAGAUUCCCCCAGUAGCGGCGAGCGAACGGGGNNNNNNNNNNNNNNNNNNNNGUCUGGAAAGGCGCGCGAUACAGGGUGACAGCCCCGUACACAAAAGCGCAUGUGCUGUGAGCUCGAUGAGUAGGGCGGGACACGUGGUAUCCUGUCUGAAUAUGGGGGGACCAUCCUCCAAGGCUAAAUACUCCUGACUGACCGAUAGUGAACCAGUACCGUGAGGGAAAGGCGAAAAGAACCCCGGCGAGGGGAGUGAAAAAGAACCUGAAACCGUGUACGUACAAGCAGUGGGAGCACAGGUUUACCUGUGUGACUGCGUACCUUUUGUAUAAUGGGUCAGCGACUUAUAUUCUGUAGCAAGGUUAACCGUAUAGGGGAGCCGGAGGGAAACCGAGUCUUAACCGGGCGUUAAGUUGCAGGGUAUAGACCCGAAACCCGGUGAUCUAGCCAUGGGCAGGUUGAAGGUUGGGUAACACUAACUGGAGGACCGAACCGACUAAUGUUGAAAAAUUAGCGGAUGACCUGUGGCUGGGGGUGAAAGGCCAAUCAAACCGGGAGAUAGCUGGUUCUCCCCGAAAGCUAUUUAGGUAGCGCCUCGUGAAUUCAUCUCCGGGGGUAGAGCACUGUUUCGGCUAGGGGGCCAUCCCGGCUUACCAACCCGAUGCAAACUGCGAAUACCGGAGAAUGUUAUCACGGGAGACACACGGCGGGUGCUAACGUCCGUCGUGAAGAGGGAAACAACCCAGACCGCCAGCUAAGGUCCCAAAGUCAUGGUUAAGUGGGAAACGAUGUGGGAAGGCCCAGACAGCCAGGAUGUUGGCUUAGAAGCAGCCAUCAUUUAAAGAAAGCGUAAUAGCUCACUGGUCGAGUCGGCCUGCGCGGAAGAUGUAACGGGGCUAAACCAUGCACCGAAGCUGCGGCAGCGACACUCAGGUGUUGUUGGGUAGGGGAGCGUUCUGUAAGCCUGUGAAGGUGGCCUGUGAGGGUUGCUGGAGGUAUCAGAAGUGCGAAUGCUGACAUAAGUAACGAUAAAGCGGGUGAAAAGCCCGCUCGCCGGAAGACCAAGGGUUCCUGUCCAACGUUAAUCGGGGCAGGGUGAGUCGACCCCUAAGGCGAGGCCGAAAGGCGUAGUCGAUGGGAAACGGGUUAAUAUUCCCGUACUUGGUGUUACUGCGAAGGGGGGACGGAGAAGGCUAUGUUGGCCGGGCGACGGUUGUCCCGGUUUAAGCGUGUAGGUGUGUGUUCCAGGUAAAUCCGGUUCACUUUAACACUGAGGCGUGACGACGAGGCACUACGGUGCUGAAGCAACAAAUGCCCUGCUUCCAGGAAAAGCCUCUAAGCAUCAGGUAACAUCAAAUCGUACCCCAAACCGACACAGGUGGUCAGGUAGAGAAUACCAAGGCGCUUGAGAGAACUCGGGUGAAGGAACUAGGCAAAAUGGUGCCGUAACUUCGGGAGAAGGCACGCUGACACGUAGGUGAAGUGAUUUACUCAUGGAGCUGAAGUCAGUCGAAGAUACCAGCUGGCUGCAACUGUUUAUUAAAAACACAGCACUGUGCAAACACGAAAGUGGACGUAUACGGUGUGACGCCUGCCCGGUGCCGGAAGGUUAAUUGAUGGGGUCAGCGCAAGCGAAGCUCCUGAUCGAAGCCCCGGUAAACGGCGGCCGUAACUAUAACGGUCCUAAGGUAGCGAAAUUCCUUGUCGGGUAAGUUCCGACCUGCACGAAUGGCGUAAUGAUGGCCAGGCUGUCUCCACCCGAGACUCAGUGAAAUUGAACUCGCUGUGAAGAUGCAGUGUACCCGCGGCAAGACGGAAAGACCCCGUGAACCUUUACUAUAGCUUGACACUGAACAUUGAGCCUUGAUGUGUAGGAUAGGUGGGAGGCUUUGAAGUGUGGACGCCAGUCUGCAUGGAGCCGACCUUGAAAUACCACCCUUUAAUGUUUGAUGUUCUAACGUGGACCCGUUACCCGGGUUGCGGACAGUGUCUGGUGGGUAGUUUGACUGGGGCGGUCUCCUCCUAAAGAGUAACGGAGGAGCACGAAGGUUGGCUAAUCCUGGUCGGACAUCAGGAGGUUAGUGCAAUGGCAUAAGCCAGCUUGACUGCGAGCGUGACGGCGCGAGCAGGUGCGAAAGCAGGUCAUAGUGAUCCGGUGGUUCUGAAUGGAAGGGCCAUCGCUCAACGGAUAAAAGGUACUCCGGGGAUAACAGGCUGAUACCGCCCAAGAGUUCAUAUCGACGGCGGUGUUUGGCACCUCGAUGUCGGCUCAUCACAUCCUGGGGCUNNNNNNNNNNNNNNNNNNNNAUUUAAAGUGGUACGCGAGCUGGGUUUAGAACGUCGUGAGACAGUUCGGUCCCUAUCUGCCGUGGGCGCUGGAGAACUGAGGGGGGCUGCUCCUAGUACGAGAGGACCGGAGUGGACGCAUCACUGGUGUUCGGGUUGUCAUGCCAAUGGCACUGCCCGGUAGCUAAAUGCGGAAGAGAUAAGUGCUGAAAGCAUCUAAGCACGAAACUUGCCCCGAGAUGAGUUCUCCCUGAGACUUUAGGUCUCCUGAAGGAACGUUGAAGACGACGACGUUGAUAGGCCGGGUGUGUAAGCGCAGCGAUGCGUUGAGCUAACCGGUACUAAUGAACCGUGAGGCUUAACCUUACAACGCCGAAGAUGUUUUGGCGGAUGAGAGACGAUUUUCAGCACUGAUU
rnacentral:rRNA from 1 species